UACGUAGGUGACCAGCGUUGUCCGGAUUUACUGGGCGUAAAGAGCGCGCAGGCGGUCGUUCAAGUCGAGUGUGAAAGCCCCCGGCUCAACUGGGGAGGGUCAUUCGAUACUGAUCGACUGGAAGGCAGGAGAGGGAAGCGGAAUUCCCGGUGUAGUGGUGAAAUGCGUAGAUAUCGGGAGGAACACCAGUGGCGAAGGCGGCUUCCUGGCCUGUUCUUGACGCUGAGGCGCGAAAAGCUAGGGGAGCAAACGGGG
rnacentral:rRNA from 1 species